ACAUGCCUACAACAUAGCGUUAAUGCACUAGAUCCCAUUAAAACUCCAUAGUUAAGCGCACUCAGGCUAUAUUAGUACUAGGAUGGGUGACUGCUCGAGAAGUCCUAGUGUUUUACAUGCC
rnacentral:rRNA from 1 species